CCUCCUUAAGGUGCGCCCUUUCAGGAGAAGCCGUCGCCUUCCCCUUUAAGUACAGGGGAAGGCUGGAUAGGACCUGAGGCCCACGGGGGACCACCCCCCCCACCCCCGUGCAGGUCUACAGUAGAGCUGGAGAAACUGAGGUUUCAGAAACUUGAUCCACAUGCUUUAGAUGAACUUGAACAAAGAAGUAUGUAAAUGAAGAAGAGUGUCCCAUACAUGAGAGUCACAGCAGCCAAGCAUGAGGAGCAGGUUUUGACAACGAUUUCAUUCACCAGUACGUAGAAGUGUUUCAUGAAAUCAGAGAACUGUUAGACUGGAGAAAUCACCUUACCAGAAGCCAUUGCGUCCAUCUGCCUAAGUGGAUUGACCUAUGGACCCACUCAUUCAUCACUGAUUCAAGUUUUGACACAGACUGCAGCUUUGCAAAAGUAAAUUUGAGUUACAAAAUUAACGCAUUUGUUGCAAAACAAGUCCAUCAUCUCUGAUAAGCAUGGAUCACCCCCACCCCCUGAGGCUCCUUUCAAUAUCAUGUUACUAA